CAGUCGCCGCGGUAAUACGAAGGGUGCAAGCGUUAAUCGGAAUUACUGGGCGUAAAGCGCGCGUAGGUGGUUCGGAAAGAAAGGUGUGAAAUCCCAGGGCUUAACCUUGGAACUGCACUUUUAACUACCGGGCUAGAGUGUGUCAGAGGGGGGUGGAAUUCCGCGUGUAGCAGUGAAAUGCGUAGAGAUGCGGAGGAACACCGAUGGCGAAGGCAGCCCCCUGGGAUAACACUGACGCUCAUGCACGAAAGCGUGGGGAGCAAACAGGAUUAGAUACCCCUGUAGUCCCUGUCUCUUAUAC
rnacentral:rRNA from 1 species